rnacentral:misc_RNA from 1 species
ACAUUUGGCAGCGAGCGCUUUCAUGAAUGGUUUUUGACCAAAAAACGGAAAAAAAUAUGUCCUAAAAUCCAUUCCCAUGCUCGCUUUGAAUAACAAGCCUUGACUGACGAGACUUUUUGAGUCUAAACAACGUGUUUUGAAUAUAUUGGAACGGUGUUUUGUCUUAAGAACAAAGAAAUAUGAACAUGGAGAAGAGCUUUCAUUUUAAGAUUGUUUUACUUGGAGCCUUUAUUAUCUUAUUAACUUUACAGAUGUGUGAAACAAAACAUAUAAGAAAAUCGACGAAAAAAGUAAAGAAAGAGGAAAUACCCGUACAGCUUUCAGUCGACGGGAACAAAUUUACAAGCGUCGGAUGUUUUCGUGAUGCCUGGAAUCGGGUUAUCCCAGCCCUAGAAGGCGAGCAUCAACUUUUAAUGGAGCCAAACUACAAAGCAAGAAAGUUUGCUUUAUUGAAGUGNGCACGCGCAGCUAUGGACAAACAUUUGAAAGUAUUUGGCAUUGAGAAUGGUGGACAGUGCUUUGGUGCCGAGGAUGAACGCAGUCUGAACAAAUAUGGGACAGCUGUCGAAUGCAGGCGGGAUGGUAAAGGUGGGCCAUGGAGCUUACAGGCUUACAAAUUCACAACACUUCCGAUAAAUGGCGGCUUCAGUCCAUGGUCACGAUGGACCACGUGCAGUAAGACAUGUGACCAUGGAGUAAGACGGCGUAUGCGUACCUGCUCCAAUCCUCCUCCGUCAAAUGGUGGUAAAGACUGCAGUGGAUUGGGACCUAGUGUAGAAGGGGAGAUAUGUAAAGACAAGGAAUGUCCAACUGUUCUCAUUGACGAAGCAGAGUCAGGAAACACCGCUCGACCANNCAGACUUUCAACCACGCCUUCGGCACCUACAGCAGAGCAAUCGGGACAAUCGGACAAACCAAAACCCUCUACUAGCGAGAAUAAACCACCUGUCAUUAAAGAAGGUAGCCUGAUUGUUCUACCUAAAGCUGCUGAGAACCGUCAGGGCUCUGAUAGUCAGCCUGAUACACAAGCUUCUAAAGAGGAUCCACACAAAGAUAGUUCUUCUGUACCAAAUGAAAAACCAAGGGAACCCUCUGUCGAUACACCGAAAAUGCAGAGCGAAGCAAUGCCAAUUCCAAAAGAGGGNAGUGACAAUGGACAGCGUAUUGAGAAAGGAAAGGCAACAGAUUCAAAGAUGCAAGAAGGAGAUUCUGCAAAGCCCAGCAGUGCACAAAGUGACAGUGUAGGAUUUGGCCCUCAGGAAGCUAGUCAUCAUGUCCACCCUGCAGGCUCUGAGCCUUUUCAAUUUAUUGAUGAACCUGAAGAUCAGCGAAAUCCUUACGUCGUGCCAUCAAUGCACCAAUCAGAAAGCCUCAAAUCUCACGAACAAUUAAGCUUACCUGAAAAUCCUCAAGAUAUCGAUCCAAGUGUUGCACAGGAAACUUACAAUGGCGAGCCUGCGGUAUCAGGUAAUGCUGUUCAACCGAACACACCCAUGGGGCCGAUGGCNGAGAUGAAUCAUAUGAACAGAAAUUUUAACCCUAGCGAACCUCAGCAAACUGAACAAUCACCUUCUCACAGCGAAGAAUGCUUUUGUCCUAAGAAAGUGUGCGAUGCCAAGGCGGAUAUAGCUUUCCUUGUUGAUGGCUCAUCUGAUAUUCCACAAGUCUAUUUCACGCAUGUNCUCGACUUUAUGAAAGCAUUAACAAGAGGAUUCAGCUCAAAGGACACACAGGUAAAUCUGGUUGCCUAUGGUGAUGACGCUGCUUCAGCUUUCAACAAUUUCAGUCCAGUACAAAACCUACACGAGAUCGAUGACAGCAUUGACUCAAUGACUUACAUGGGAGGUGAUCCCCGGACCGGUAACGCUCUAACAAAAGUCCAGAAUGGUCUUUUUAAGACUUUUGGUCGGACAGAUGCAAANCAUGCCUUGAUUCUUUUGACCAGCGGNAGCUCAUCUGACGAUACAAUUCAAGCAGCUGAGGAUUUGAGGAAGUCGGGAAUAAAGUUGACUACCAUUGGCCUUGGUAAAUUGGCAAACGUCAAGGAACUGAUUGACAUUUCUUCAGAGCCAAAGUCCAGUCACGUCUUUACAGCAUUCCUGGACACUUUACCAGACAUAAUGGACGACAUUGUCAAAGGAGUUUGUUCAGAUAUCGAUGGGAAACUUUAUAACAAAGACAAGCAGUGUAUAUGUGGGGCGAAUAAAGUAAAAAAUUCAAAAGACAAAUCUACUGAUGUUCUCUCAGAACUCGGAAAGUCAAAGGAAGGCAAAGAAGAACCUCCUAANGGACCUAGAGAGGGGUCUGAUGAUAAGACUCUACAAAAUAAAACAAGAACUGAUGCGAAAUCUAGCAAUAAUGGCGACGAAAACGCUGUUCCCAGUGGUGAUGGUGGGAAAGAUAAUGGUGGGCAUAAGGUUGAUCACAAAGGUGAAAAUAACGGUGAAGCCAUUGGAUCAACAACCCAUGUGAGUCCCCAGUCAUCAGAGCCAAAUAGAGAAACAGUCAAAAUAGACUCAAAAGAUGAACGAAAAGAAAAUAGCUCUACAGNUGUUGAAAAUAAAGAGCAGAAUAAGCAGACUGGCCAAAGUCUCCAAGAAAGACCUUCCCAACCUNAUCGCGAAGGGUCAGGUUCAUCUCCAAAAGAAAAUCCCAAAACUGAUAUGAGCGAGAGGAUUAAGACUGAUGAGAAGGUUGACCUACCUGAACCUCAAGGUACAAGAAAUGAAAAGGCNGUCCCUAAAAAGGAUAGCAAUGCCGAUAACUCAAUAAAUAUUAAUAAUCAGGGNCCAUCAGGUGAGCAAAAUGGACCAAUAGAAAUUCCGGCUGCNUUAGAGCAAAUAAAAACAUCAAAUGAAAAUAUGAAGACUCAAAGUGAGCCUCCUGAAACAGACUCAGGUACACCACAGAUAACAAUAUUAGACAAUGGUUAUUCGAAACUCAUGAAGUCAAGAGAACAAUCUUCAAGAGGUCGUCAGAAUAAUCCUGGUAACUCAAACCCGCAAGGAGGUGUGGCUCGACCAUCGGAAGACAAUCGUCCAACUCAAGAGCCAACACCAAAUAGAAUUGAGAGCAAAGAAUCUAAACCACAAGAAAAAGUUAUGGAAGCAACUGAGAGUUCUUUUCCUCCCAAAGUUAAACCUAGCGAAAAACANCAACAACAAGAGUCACAAGGCAAACCGUCAGAGGAUUCUAAAGAUAAAACAACAUCNUCACAAGUAGAAAUUCCUAAUCCCACGUCAAAGACACCACCUAAACAAGAAGAGAAAAGUAGAGCAAAUGAGCAAGAACAGAAAGGAAAGGACUCUGAACAGCACCCACCUCAAAUGACUCGACAUCCCGAUGGCACUUUUAUGGCCGGUCAAGCUGAAGGAAGCAGGAUAUCGGGAAUCAAGGAAACUAUCGUAUCAAAAGGUAAUAAACGUAUCCAUGAAUAGGAGUUUAUUAUCUCUAAUAUUUAUUCAUAUGCAAAGGGAGUAUUCAGAAUUGAAACAGCGGGUCAAUUUCUAGACUUAUGAAGGUGGGCAUCCAGUGACCCCACUUGAUACGCCUUUGACGUAGUGAUGGCUCCCUAAUGGGAGCAUUAGGAGAGUAGUGUGUAUUAUUCCUUCAAACUCUAAUGCAGGAAUAUA